AUGUGCCGACAGCUAUUAGCCUGGACAGUUUCUGAGCACUAUACAAGCUUCAUCCAGACUCUCCGGCUUGUCUCUUCCAUGCUGGCCGCGGUCCAUCCAGCCCAGAUCAGCCAUUCCAUCGGAUUAUCAUUGACAGGAAGUCUGGACCUGCUGAGAGAGGCACUUUCCCUCCUGAUUCUCGAUCUGACAUUGGGACGGACAACAAACAACUCUUUUCCACGGGGAGCGCAGUGCUCCAUAAUCCAUACUGACCUUCCCUGGCUGCAAUUCAGCUUUAUUUUUAGUCAGGCUGAAGAGGAAAAACCUAACCGUGUGUUGUUGAUGCAGAGAAUAUUGAAACAAUUUUCCCAGCAGUGUUCCACCUCACCAUCGCUUUUACUUUGAUGAAUAGCAAGACGUUACUAAUUUUGUCUCUUGAAGCAUAAACUUAAACUCUCUUUAUCAUUUAAAAUGAUCCCACAUAUCCUUGAUCACAGCACACGAAUAUCGUACACAUAAAAAAAAAAUUCCAUGAAUAAAAAACAACAACAACAAAAAUGGUGUCCAAAAUUACAAUAUUAAUGAGCCCUACUGUUGCACUGGGUGGCAUUUCUGAUUUCUACUUUGUUUUUAGUCAAGCUGAGAUAUAUUUCUGCAACACUCACUGAUGAACCAAAUAUAUAUUUUUCCAUGGCUCAAAAUAGUCCCAAACAAAAGCACAAUUUACUCCUGUUUCAGUAACAUUUGCUAAACUCUACGGAGGUCAAACUGUUUAGUAAGGUAACAAUGUGGUAGUGUCUGGGGUGCCUUCCAUGGAGUUCGCCACGUUGAACCAUCAUGUUUCUCAAACACAAAAUGGACAAACCAAACGCUGGCAGUAGAUAGGGCCUUCGCAUUUUUAGGGAGUUUUGGGGCCACCAAAGUUUCUCCUACACACUUUACAGCGCGUUCUUCUUCCCAGGUCGUCAGAUACAGAUGUGAGCAGUGUUCAGUUAGUUUUAAUCUCAAACUUGACCACUAGUUGCCACUAAAUCCACGUUAAUUUGCAACACUGACCACCAAUCAGACAUUAAAGGAAUAGAUAAACGGAAUGAACACUACAGAAACAAAUCACUUUAGUCUCACAGUAUGCAGUACAUUAUCAUGCUGUCCAACAAUAUAUUCAGCAUUGUAAUAACAUCACAUGCAAAGUGAUAUCACUAUUCUAUUAUUCACUUAGUUAACACGUUUACCCUUCUAAGUAUGGAUGUAUCUGCCUUGGCUGCACACAUUCUUCUCCCUAAAUGAACACCAUUCAAAUAACCCGACACUCAGCUCAAUCUCAAGCUCAAUUGUAGACACAUCUCCAAAUGUGUCUCCAAACUGAUUAUAAUCUGUUGAAACAAAAUAGAUUUCCAUUAGAGCAAAUCCCCCUGUCCUAAAGAAUGACAAAACAUCUGUUUCGUCUUUGCUAAUGUUUCUGCUAAAUCUCCAAGAUUCGCUUAAGAUGAAAAAAGGACACUGUGUUAAUGGAUGUGGCGUGUUUUGAUUUUCUUAAAAGAAAUUUCAAUUAUUACAAAGACUCCUCCGCUAUUUGCAUACUUUGGUUGAGCAUCAGGGAUUGUCUAGAGACCAGAGCGCCUGGAGCAAAUUAAAUGAAACUUUGUGCCAAAGAUAAUUCGGUGAUUAAUAUUUCCGAAUGUUAAUAUCAGAAUAAGUAGGUAAGGAGAAAAAAGGCGACUUUACCUAAAUAGAAUGACUCUAUUGCUGCCGCAGUGUGUGUACAGAGCGAGUAUGUGUGUUGUGUGUGUGCCUGUGUGUGGUUCAUGGCUGUGUGCUUUCAAGCAGCUGCAGUGCUUUCAGGUCUCAGAGAGUAGAAAGUACAGAACCAAGAAAUGGAGAACAGGGGGAGUAAAUGUUAAAAUUACCAUAUUGAUGGAUGUUACAAAAUAGGGGCUUCAUCUUUUUCAUCUGAAUUUCAAUGAUGCAUAAUCAUAAUGGUCAUUUGCUUUGCCUAUUUGCAUAGUUUCCCGAAUUAUUCAAUUUUUAGGUCAUUUUACCAACAAAGAGAAAUGAAGACAGAAACUAUGUUUUUAUGUGGGUCAUGAUUAUGUGUCACAAACUACCACUUGCUGCAGUACACCUGAGCGGUGAACACACUAGAAGAAUUUUUUUAAAUGGUAACCAAACUAUGAAAAGAAUCAGAAUCACACAUUUAAUGGAUGUAUUUAGCAGAUUAUGAACAUGGGCAAACAUACUGUUCAGAUUUCUGUCACUAUAAUCACUAUACUACGAAAAAACCUCCACAAAGAUAAAAAAAAAUAAUGUAUGCUAACAAUUGGGUUUUAAAUGUGUUCCUGGUUUGACAUAUUUGUUUAACAGUUGCUCUGACUUCUAAUGCAAGCCAAUUAAAACUGCUGUAAUGCAUUAACAGUGACCUGUGACUACUAUCUACUGUAGUUUAAUAUGGUCACAUCCUCUUGAUUGACAUUUUGAGAGAGUAAGUUCACAAGAGAUCCAUUGGUUACCUGGUACUACAUGGUGCUCUAAGAGCCUGUGAGAGAACACAGAUACAGAAAAUACUGAAACAUUGGGCUCUUCAUGUCAUCCAUCAUAGGCAAUUGGCAGAGUAUGGUUAAUGUUUUAUUGUUUGGAUGCUCUCCGUGCAGGAUGAGGAAAAGUGCAAGGGUAAAGUUCCAGCGCAACACAGAAAAGACCCUGGUUUAACUUUCCUGUAGUGGUAUAAUUAGAAACAGAAUUGGCCAUGUUUGUGUCCUUGCCUGUCAUCAUCACCAACAAGGACACACUAAUACUGCGAGCUAUUGCACAUUCCCAUCAAAUUAGCACAAGCUGUGCUAACCACAUUCGAAAGAGAAAUACUAGAGCAAAGCUAGAAAGAGUUGUUUGCAACUUUGGUUAAAUAAAGAAUAUGAUUGAGCAGUCACUUACUGCUUCUUAUUCAAACUUAUCCAAAAUCACAGGCUCAUCAUCAAUUGCAAUCCUCAUACAUUUACUUAACAUAAGAAGUAAACUUGUUAAAUGUUACAACUAAUACCGGAUUUUUUGAGUUCAGGAUUGAUAAUAUACUGUAUUAUUCUAUAUAUGUUUAUAUAUAUAUAUAUAUAUAUAUAUAUAUAUAUAUAUAUAUAUAUAAGGAUCUCUUAAAUGUGGGUAUUACUUAAUUGUGACCAGCAUAAGCCCUGUCACAAUGCUAAAAUGCAACAUAGGUGCUAUUUCACAGUCAAAGAUGCAGUAUUCAUUCUGUGGAAUUGUACGUGGUCACCUGGGAACACGAUUCAGUAUUGUCUGUGUAUAUUUCAUAAACAAGAUUUUUGUCACAUUGCUUCUUUGUUUGAAAUAAAGAGGAGCCAAUGUUACUGAGACAGUGUUUAACCUGGCUGCCUUUGAU
rnacentral:lncRNA from 15 species